UACGGGGGGAGCAAGCGUUGUUCGGAUUUACUGGGCGUAAAGGGCGCGUAGGCGGCCAGUGCAAGUCAGUUGUGAAAUCUCCGAGCUUAACUCGGAAAGGUCAACUGAUACUGCUCGGCUAGAGUGCGGAAGGGGCAACUGGAAUUCUUGGUGUAGCGGUGAAAUGCGUAGAUAUCGGAAGGAACACCAGUGGCGAAAGCGGCUUCCUGGUCCAGCACCGACGUUCAGGCACGAAAGCGUGGGGAGCAAACAGG
rnacentral:rRNA from 1 species